UACAGAGGGGGCUAGCGUUGUUCGGAAUUACUGGGCGUAAAGGGCGCGUAGGCGGCCCGCUAAGUCGAACGUGAAAUCCCCGGGCUCAACCCGGGAACUGCGUCCGAUACUGGUGGGCUUGAAUCCGGGAGAGGGAUGUGGAAUUCCAGGUGUAGCGGUGAAAUGCGUAGAUAUCUGGAGGAAUACCGGUGGCGAAGGCGGCAUCCUGGACCAUUACUGACGCUGAGGCGCGAAAGCUAGGGGAGCAAACGGG
rnacentral:rRNA from 1 species